CCUACGGGAGGCUGCAGUGGGGAAUAUUGGACAACGGGCGAAAGCCUGAUCCAGCCAUGCCGCGUGUGUGAAGAAGGCCUUCGGGUUGUAAAGCACUUUCAGUGGGGAAGAAAGCCUUGGGGCUAAUACCCUCGAGGAAGGACAUCACCCACAGAAGAAGCACCGGCUAACUCCGUGCCAGCAGCCGCGGUAAUACGGAGGGUGCGAGCGUUAAUCGGAAUUACUGGGCGUAAAGCGCGCGUAGGCGGUCUGAUAAGCCGGUUGUGAAAGCCCCGGGCUCAACCUGGGAACGGCAUCCGGAACUGUCAGGCUAGAGUGCAGGAGAGGAAGGUAGAAUUCCCGGUGUAGCGGUGAAAUGCGUAGAGAUCGGGAGGAAUACCAGUGGCGAAGGCGGCCUUCUGGACUGACACUGACGCUGAGGUGCGAAAGCGUGGGUAGCAAACAGGAUUAGAUACCCUGGUAGUC
rnacentral:rRNA from 1 species